CCUACGGGACGCAGCAGUGGGGGAUAUUGCACAAUGGGGGAAACCCUGAUGCAGCGACGCCGCGUGGGUGAAGAAGCGCCUCGGCGCGUAAAGCCCUGUCAGCAGGGAAGAAAAUGACGGUACCUGAAGAAGAAGCCCCGGCUAACUACGUGCCAGCAGCCGCGGUAAUACGUAGGGGGCAAGCGUUAUCCGGAUUUACUGGGUGUAAAGGGAGCGUAGGCGGGGAUGCAAGUUGGGUGUCAAAACUACCG
rnacentral:rRNA from 1 species